GUGUAUUAUAUGCGCCUUCGGAAUCUUCCCUCUUUCUAUUGUUCUUACCAACCACGCGCCAACUCUCUCUCUUUCUCUUCCUUCUCGAUCUGCCGUCACGCAAUGGCUACUUCCAAUUGCUCCGCCUCCGAAAACACUCACGCAACCGCCGCUCCGUCGGAAUCUGCAUUGAUCUUCAUGGGAACCGGCUGUUCCAGCAUGGUUCCCAACGUAAUGUGCCUGAUCCGCCCUUCAGAUCCUCCCUGCUCCGUCUGUGUUCAGUCAUUAUCUAUCCCUCUCGAGCGUAACCCUAAUUACAGGUGCAAUACAUCCCUUCUAAUUGAUUAUUGUGAAAGCAAUGAUAAUCACAAAUAUAUAUUGAUUGAUGUUGGGAAGACAUUUAGGGAGGCAGUACUUAGAUGGUUUGUUUCCCAUCGGAUACCGAGAAUAGAUUCUAUCAUUUUGACUCAUGAACAUGCUGAUGCAGUCCUUGGAUUGGAUGAUAUACGUGCUGUGCAGCCUUUUAGUCCCACAAAUGAUAUUGAUCCCACCCCCAUAUACCUGAGUCAGCAUUCAAUGGAUAGCAUAGCAGAGAAGUUUCCAUAUUUGAUUCCGAAGAAACCAAAGGAAGGACAAGAAAUACGUAGAGUAGCCCAGCUUGCCUGGAACAUUAUCGCUGAUGAUAUCAAUAAACCCUUUUAUGUAUCAGGCUUGAAAUUCACUCCUUUGCCAGUUAUGCAUGGAGAGGAUUACAUCUGUUUGGGCUUUCUUUUUGGUGAGAAAAACAAGGUGGCUUAUAUAUCAGAUGUUUCACGGUUUCCAGCUAGUACAGAGCAUGUCAUAUCAAAAAGUGGAGCUGGGCAGUUGGAUCUUCUUAUAUUGGAUUGUUUGUAUAGGACUGGAUCACACAAUGUUCACCUUUGUUUUCCACAGACUCUUGAAACUGUCAAGAGGUUAUGUCCAAAGCAAACCCUGUUGAUUGGAAUGACUCACGAAUUUGAUCACCACAAGGACAAUGAGUUUUUGAAAGAUUGGUCCAGAAGGGAGGGAAUUCCAGUGCAGCUUGCUCAUGAUGGCUUGAAAGUCCCCAUAAACUUAUGAGAUGACAUCCAGGUUGUGUCUGUUGAAGAAGAUAGAAAGGGAGUACCGGAGUAGGUAGAAAAUGUGAAGAACUCUUUAGAUUGGUUAAUCAAAAGUCACUUUGGAAUCACUUCCAUCCUUUAAACGCAAAUACAUUCACGAGGGUAAAGCAUGAGACAACAUAUACAGAUACAGGCAUACAGCAUACUGUUAAAUCAGAAUUAGAUUCAAUUUCAACUUAAUAUUUUUUAAGAGUAUCCCGAGUUUGUACAAGUCCCUAAGGAAUCGACAUCAUUACUAGAGAUGCCAUUUCCGGACUUGCUGAGGAUAACUUAUUGUGAUGGAAGUCCCGAAUUAUAAUUAAAAUCCUGAGCAGAAUUAGUAACAAUUUUGUAAUCAACUCCUUGAAUUGAAUCAAGUGCAUAGGGAACCAUCCGUAUUGUAGUAUUCUUUUUGCUGUUACUAAUCUGAAGGCUGUUGCUGAGGCAUUUGGGCUUAUCUAUUGGAAUUACUUGUAUUACAUUGUGUGUUUUCUUUUAAAGACUCUAAAACCUAAAUUAUAUUUAUUUUUUUACUUC